UACUGAGGGGGCGAGCGUUAUUCGGAAUUAUUGGGCGUAAAGGGCGCGUAGGCGGCGCGAUAAGUCAAAGGUGAAAUCCCUCGGCUCAACUGAGGAACUGCCUUUGAAACUGUCGUGCUUGAGGCCGGGAGGGGGUAGCGGAAUUCCCAGUGUAGCGGUGAAAUGCGUAGAUAUUGGGAGGAACACCAGUGGCGAAGGCGGCUACCUGGACCGGUUCUGACGCUGAUGCGCGAAAGCGUGGGGAGCGAACAGG
rnacentral:rRNA from 1 species